rnacentral:tRNA from 1 species
GGAGGCGUAGACCUAAUUGGUAAGGCAGCGGUCUUGAAAACCGCCGUCCGUAAGGACUUGGGGGUUCGAGUCCCUCCGCCUCCG